AGUGAACGCUGGCGGUAGGCCUAACACAUGCAAGUCGAACGGCAGCACAGUAAGAGCUUGCUCUUACGGGUGGCGAGUGGCGGACGGGUGCGGAAUACAUCGGAAUCUACUUUUUCGUGGGGGCUAACGUAGGGACACUUACGCUAAUACCGCAGACGACCUACGGGUGAAAGCAGGGGACCUUCGGACCUUGCGCGAGUGAAUGAGCCGAUGUCGGAUUAGCUAGUUGGCGGGGUAAAGGCCCACCAAGGCGACGAUCCGUAGCUGGUCUGAGAGGAUGAUCAGCCACACUGGAACUGAGACACGGUCCAGACUCCUACGGGAGGCAGCAGUGGGGAAUAUUGGACAAUGGGCGCAAGCCUGAUCCAGCCAUACCGCGUGUGUGAAGAAGGCCUUCGGAUUGUAAAGCCCUUUUGUUGGGAAAGAAAAGUAGCAGGUUAAUACCCCGCUGUUCUGACGGUACCCAAAGAAUAAGCACCGGCUAACUUCGUG
rnacentral:rRNA from 1 species